AACAAACGCUGGCGGCGUGCCUAAUACAUGCAAGUCGAACGGGGAAAGCUUUCGGGUGAGUACUAGUGGCGCACGGGUGAGGAACGCGUGGAUAGUCUGCCCUAGAGUGGGGGAUAACUAGUCGAAAGAUUAGCUAAUACCGCAUAAGACCACAGGAGCUGCGGCUCAAGGGGUCAAAGGUUUUUCGCUCUAAGAUGAGUCCGCGUAAGAUUAGCUAGUUGGUGAGGUAACGGCUCACCAAGGCGACGAUCUUUAACUGGUCUGAGAGGAUGAUCAGUCACACUGGAACUGAGACACGGUCCAGACUCCUACGGGAGGCAGCAGUAGGGAAUAUUGCACAAUGGAGGAAACUCUGAUGCAGCGACGCCGCGUGAGUGAUGAAGGCCUUCGGGUCGUAAAGCUCUGUCGCAGGGGAAUAACACAAUGAAUGUACCCUGUAAGAAAGGAUCGGCUAACUUCGUGCCAGCCGCCGCAGUAACAC
rnacentral:rRNA from 1 species